rnacentral:lncRNA from 1 species
GACUUUCUUGAGCACGAGGUCACCUUCUCGGAACACACGAGGCUUGACCUUCUUAUCGAAUGCUUUCUUCAUUCUCUGCUGAUAUAACUGACCAUGACUCAUGGCAGUUAAUCUCUUCUUUUCGAUCAGAUUCACUUGGUCGUAACGACUCUGAAUCCAUUCAACAUCAGUCAACUUGGGACUUCGAGGGUGCUACUUUUC